AGCUGUGGAGUGUCCAGAUGAACUGAAAAAGAGCAAAAGUCACAGAAGACUUGAUUCUCAGCAAAUAUUUAUCUUCCCAGAGGUUCCUUUCCUUCCGCCCUGGAUGGACAGUCCCAGUGUGCAAGAAG